rnacentral:lncRNA from 1 species
AUGACUAAUUCUCUUAAAAAAUUGUCUAUGAACUAGUCCGAUGAUUUACCACUUAAAAAUGAGUUAACUUAGUUUCAACAAUACAUCAAUAAAUAAAAGUAACUUUGUUCAUUUUCGGACUUAAUCUUAUCCUGUAACUUGUUUUUGCUUCCAGCUGCAAAGCAUUUCAGAAGAUAAAGUGGCUUCAGACAAAGAACAGAACCUGGUAUCCAUCUUUGUCCCUGCUCUUCGAUCAGGGGAGUGGUCUGAUAUUGGGGGUCGGCCCUAUAUGGAGGACACUCACAUAUGCAUCAGUGACCUGGCUAAGAAGUUCAAUCAUAAUUUGCUUGAUAAGGAAGCUAUAUCCUUCUAUGGUGUAAGUUCUUCACCCUAGUUAAGUUGAAUGUGUGUUGUUCCUGUUGUUUCAAUCUGUCACAUGCAUUUUUUGUUUUUUUAGCAUGAUCUCCUGCUAGAUUAUAAACAUGAAUCCUUCUUUCUUGAUGAACUCUUUUGUAUGAAAACAAAAAUAUGGAGAUUUUCAGUUCUGGCACUAAUUUGACGGGAUUAUUCAGCAUAGCUUGCCUACUUGGAAAUGCAUAGCAGGCUUAGGGGUCACACACUGAAGUCAUAGGGAGAAAUGCUGUGGUUUCUGUUUUCCUUUUCUAAUUUCUAAUUGUCAGUUUAAACUAUAAUGUUUGGUUGAAGGGGUCUUUAAAAUUUUAAAUAAAUUGGAACUUUCUUGUUGCUUCUAGGCAUGUUUGGAGGUUGAUAGACCUUGUCUUUUAUAGGAAAUGAAAUCUAGAGAAAUUCAAAAGUUGAUAAACCUAAAAUAUCAUGUGGAUGAGAAUUAGCUACCUUUGUUCUGUCCUUGGUAAUUUCGAGUUAUAGCUUGUUGAUCAGAUAGCUGCAUCUUGUUCUAGUUUGGGAGUGACCAAGGAUGGAAAUAACCUGAAUAUAGUUGGAUGUAGAAGCAUUUCAUUAAUCCUUUCUUUUGGUACGAGGUACAUGACAGCCAUGAAAUUGACAUUGCAAAUAAAUAUAAUUGUGGUUUUAUCAGCGCAAGCCUUAGAACUAUGUUGUUUCACAAGCUGUCGGAAAAGGAGCAAAAUAUAUGUUUGUAUGACUAAGACCCUAGCACUCUGAUUUGAAAUAGAAGGUUUAGUUUUUGAUAUCUGCCUGCCAAACAGUAAUUUAAUGGAAUCACUUUUAAGCAUGGAAAAAAAAUAGAGAAAAAGUGGAAAAGAUAAGAAUGCUAGACUAAAGGAGUAAAAUUGCAGAUGUUUGACUCAGCUCUAGGAAUCUAAAAUAGCAAUGGUUUUGAAUAACAGGUAUUUGAUGGUCAUGGAGGAAAUGCUGCAGCGCAGUUUGUCCGUGACCACUUGCCAAGGGUCAUUGUCGAGGACGCUGAUUUCCCCUUAGCACUGGAGAAGGUAGUUAUGAGGUCAUUUAUAGAGACAGAUGCUGAAUUCGCAAAGACAUGCUCUCUUGAGUCUUCCCUGUCUUCUGGCACAACUGCACUUACAGCGAUGAUAUUUGGGAGGUAAGCUUCUCCCAUCAUUCAGUGCUAUUUGGAUUUUUUCUUUCUUUAUAGUUGGGAUUCCUUAUGCAAUUAUGUGAUCAAAUAAUCUAUGGCCAUUAAAUAAAGUAGAGUUGCAGUUGUGCAACCUGUAAAAGGGUGUAAAGGUGGAUUGCUGAGUUGAGAAAAACUGAAUCAAUUGAAGAAGAGCAUGAUGACAACCAAAAACCUUCACACCUUUCGGAAUUGUUGAAUCAUUUCCAAUGGUGCAUCUGUUUGCUUCCUCUCAUGGAAAUUUUUUUUAAGAAUGAAGUGAAGGUCUUUUUUCCAAUGACUGUUCUUUGGUUGGCGUGAAUUUGUGAAGUUAACUUUUUCUGUGAUGAUAAUACCGUACAUUGUGCCAUGCAUUAUAGAUUCUAUUCUGGGCAGGUCUUUGCUUGUGGCAAAUGCUGGGGAUUGCCGGGCAGUGCUGUCACAGCUCGGAGUGGCUAUAGAAAUGUCGAAAGAUCACAGGCCAUGCUGCACAAGAGAAAGGAGCAGGAUUGAGUCCCUGGGUGGAUACAUUGAUGAUGGGUAUCUAAAUGGUCAGAUAUCCGUCACCCGUGCGCUUGGUGAUUGGCACCUUGAAGGACUGAAAGAUAUUGGUGAAAGGGGUGGACCUUUGAGUGCUGAACCAGAACUUAAACUAAUGACACUAACCAAAGAACAUGAGUUCUUAAUCAUAGGCAGUGACGGAAUCUGGGAGGUGUUUAGGAGCCAAAAUGCAGUAGAUUUUGUCCGGAGGAGACUCCAAGAGCACAACGAUGUGAAGCUAUGCUGCAAGGAAGUAGUUGAGGAAGCAAUUAAGCGUGGAGCAACAGACAAUCUCACGGUUGUGGUAGUGAGUUUUCACUCUGAGCCACCACCACUGAAGGAGGUGGUACGAAGGGCAAGAGUGACAAGAAGCAUUUCAGCAGAGGGGCUUCAAAAUCUCAGAUCUCUGUUAGAAGGAUAGAAGUUUAUUUCACUUAUUUUUAAGUGAAGGAGAGAACCAAUUGAAUAAUUAAUCACGUAGCUAAUAAGCGGAUAUUUGGUAGAGGCCUGCUUGUAUAUACAUUCAUUCGGGAAGUAGAUGAUAGAAACUGCAUCUUCUUUCUUCUUUACCACUGGAGCUCCAUUUGAUUUUCAGAAAGAUGAUGUUUGUAAUGAUUUCUCUCUUGCUGUCUUAUUGACAAUCAAAUGGAGCUUUAGAAUGGUUGAAGGGAGAUGAGUCAUUCCAAAGUGCAGGGGAGUGGGGGACUUUGAUCUGUAAACGGUUGUGAUUCUAGAACUGUAUGUAUAAUCCCUUCUUGGUCAUAUAAAAAUGUGUACAUAUUCAGUACCCUUCGACAAUAUAAACAUUUUUAUUCCUCUUUUUUCGGUUUAGGUUGAGUGGGGCGCAUUUGUAAUUCAGCAGCUCAAAAGGUGGAAUGUGAUUCACAGGUGCAAGGGUAAGUUGUUUGACCGCAUAUUAGCAGCUCAUACCCUGAACAAUCAACUGUCCCAAUGCGUGGUGUGUUCAAGGUUGCAGUUGAUUCAGCAAGUCUUCCAAAUCAAAGCAAAGAGGGCCCAGAAAGAGUAUGUAAAUCCCAACAUGCAUUUGUGUGCAUUUCUCAUAAUCAUACAAAAGAUGGAACCAUUUCAUUGCAAAUCCAAUUGCUCAAUACACAUAUCAGAUUUUCUGAAGAAGCAGUAGAAAGAGUGGAGCACAUUACUAUUGAAUUCCCUUCUUUCCCUUUCAUCGCCAUCUUAACAAUAAAAUAUUCUAAUAGUCGCAGAGGCACAAUUGAAGCAAGCAAAAUUCUCAAAAAUUCUAAUAACAGGUUUUCGUUUUUAAAUGUAAAACAUGGCACAAUGUAGCAAUGGAGGUGAAAAGCUAAUACCCUUUUUUGCCUUCCACAUUGCGAAAUGGUAGCACAAGCAGCUUCACCCAGUCCCCACUGCAUAAAUGUUGAUAAAAAGAAUCUAAGCAGAACCGGUCCCAUGUUCUCCAAUAAUGAGAACCAGCAUAAAGUUCAAAGCAUCAACAGAUGAGAUUUGGUGCCUCAUUGUCUCAUCACAUGACACCCGCAUGCAUACAUACACCAUUAGACUGCAAGGUCAGAAGCGCAGUGACUUGACUCAUUCUUCCUUCUCCAUUGUCAAAUUUCAGUGGCACCAUUCUGGUGACUAUUAAUCUCUGGCUUUAUACUUCAAGUUGGCAGUACUCUGCUACAGGACACAAUGAUAACUAGGCUGUUUUUCACAUGAGAUGCCCUUUACAAGAUCUCGGCAAACUAUAGGUAUAUCUGAGCACUUUUUGAAAGUCUUGGGACAUAUGCUCAAAACCUGCCAUUUAAGUCAUAGUUAGCUAGUUGUAAUUACUAUAUUUUGAGAAAAGUGUGAUCACCUAUGAACUUUGUUCCAAAUAUGGAAGCUAAUGGCCUGUUUAGCAACUGUUUUUUAGAACAGUUUUUUGUUCUUCGGAACAAAAAAUCAGAAAAACACGUUUGACAAUAAAAAACUGUUUGUUGUUCUAAAGAACAAAAAACAAGGUGUUUUCAAAUAACUUUAUUUAAUUGUUUUCUGUUAUUUUUAGUUGUUUUCUAAGGGUUGUUUUAAAAAAAUAAUUAUACAAAUAUGCAAAAUGAUUAAAAAUAAAACACUAGAAAUAAAACUUAUUUUAAAAAUAUUAAAAAUAGGUCAAAUACAUUUUAGUUUUUCAAACAAACUUUUAUUCUACAAAACAUCAUAAAAUAGUUUUCAAAAAUUGUUUUAAAAAAUAUUUUAGAAUAGUUUUCGAAAACAGUUAUCAAACAAACCCUAAGAAUCAGACAAAAGUCUGUAAUUGAUUAAAAAUAAAUAAAUAAAUAAAUAAAGUAAAAACAAAUAAUUAAAAAUUAAAAUUAAAAAAAUAAAAACCAAGAAGAAGAAAAAGAAAAAACAUUGAAAGGAGAGCUAUGAAAAUUCUAUAUUUAGAAAAAGAAAAAAUGUACAUAUGGAACACAUGCAAAUUCUGGGAAUAACAAAGCGGAAGCAGAAAAAAAGUGCAGAAACUUUGCUAAAUUUACCUUUCUCAUGAUUUAAAGAUGAGUGUGGCCGAUCAGUUCUGUUCCAUAACCUGUGUUCAUAUAUACCACCCUACACAAACAAAACCAAACCAUCAUUAACUGCACCAGUUUUACUACCUGGGUCAGCCAAGAAAAAAACAGAUUGGUUGGGAAUGCUCCAGCCUCUGGAGCAAGAAAAUAGGGAAACAAAAUGAAAAGCACAAACCCAGCACAAAAAACAGAAAUUGCACAACUAAACUACAAAAGGAAGGCCCUAAAGAACUGGGAAGAGCUCAAGACACAAACAGAGAGUAUUAGAGAGAUAUCCUUAUUUCUAGGGAAAGAAUGCUCCACCAGCUCAAAAGCCCUACUCUAUUUCAAUAGAGGAGCUGUCUUCCAUAAUAUCCUCUUACCUUCCUAACAACCUCCCAUGACGCCUCUUAAAAAUCUCCAUUCACCAUUGCGACCCUACGAAAAGAAAAAAAAGAGAGCAAACACCAGCUACAAUGGAGAAGAGGAUAAUUCACUGUUUCCUCUACUUCUCCACACAAACAGCAUUUAAUUAUUAACUGUGAGUAUACUGCUUGAAAAGCCUGCUCAAAAAAAAAAAAAAAAAAAGAAACCUUCGAAAGGACCAAACUACACCAAGCUUUUCUCCAGGCAUACCACACCUCCUGCACAGAAGAUAAAAAAAACUUCUUCACAUAAACCUCCCUCAUUCAGAACCCUUCCAACACAAUAUAUCCUCAUUAACUGUUGAGAAUCUCAAUCAUAUCAGAAUUUUUCUGAUCUGGUUGUUACUUAUUUUUUAGGGAUAAUCCGGGAAUAAUUUGUUGUUGUUUUUUAGGGUUAAGUUGUAUAUUUUAAAUUUAUUUUGUUCCUAGAAAUUUGGGUGUACAACUAUAGAUUUAGUUUGAUUUCUUGUAACUUUUCUAUAAAAGGAAGCAUGUUUCCCUUCCUUAUUCAAUUUAAUAUACGACAUUUUUUUUUCUUUUCUACAUGGUAUCAGAGCCAAGUUAAUUGACUAUUCCCUUUCUUUUUCCUCUCAUUCUUUCCAGUUCUGUUCUUCUUCCCUUUUUGUUUCUAUUGCUAUCUCUUUACCAUGUCAGAAAUUUCCGAAUCUACUCCUUCCAUUACUGUUGGUUUCAAUUCCUCAAAAUUACCCACAUCCAAUUCUCACUCCCACUCUGUCCAAAUCACCACAAUCUGCCUUAAUGAGAACAAUUUUCUCAAAUGGUCACAAUUUGUUCAGAUGUACAUUAGGGGCCGAGGCAAAAUUGGUUAUUUGAUUGGUGACACCAAAGAACCAGCGAAGACAGACCUUAGCUAUGCCACUUGGGAUGCGGAAAAUUCCAUGAUCAUGACAUGAUUGGUAAAUUCCAUGGAGGAGGAGAUUAGCUCAAAUUAUAUGUGUUAUCCUAUUGCCAAAGCUCUUUGGGACAACAUUAUUCAGAUGUAUUCAGACCUUGGAAAUCAGUCCCAAAUCUAUGAGUUACAACUCAAACUAGGCGAUAUUUGUCAAGGUGAGAAUUCGGUUACCAAAUAUUUUAAUGUGCUUAGGGGUUUAUGGUAGGAUCUUGACUUAUUCAAUGACUAUGAGUGGAAAAAUACGGAUGAUUUUAACUAUUUUAAGAAGAUGGUAGAAAGUUCACAGAUAUUCAAAUUUUUACUUGGGCUUAAUAUUGAGUUUGAUUAAGUUCGGGGUAGAAUCAUUGGUUGGCAACCUCUCCCUUUUCUAGGUGAAGUGUUUUCCUAAGUGCGUCAUGAGGAAAGCCAGAGGAAUGUUAUGCUUGGGAAGAAGCUCCUUAGACCUGUGGAAAACUCAACCUUGUUGAGCACUACAACAGUGACUUCUCGCAAUCCUAAUAACCGAUGUUGUCAGGAUGACAAGCUAAGAGUUUGGUGUGAUCAUUGUAAUAAACCACGCCACACUCGUGAAACCUACUAGAAAUUACAUGGAAAGCCAACUAAUUGGAAGCCCGUUGAAUGGAAGACUAAUAAGCAAGGCGACUAUAAUCGUUUCCCUGCAAAAGCACAUGCUACCGAGACACCCUCAUUGAGCAAAGAACAAUUAGACCAACUGCUACAGCUGCUAAAACCUGCUCUGCCAACUCCUGGUACUCCUAUAGCAUCUCUAGCUUAGUCAGGUAGUCUUUCGUGUGCAUAUUCUCUUUCAUUAUCUGUACCUUGGAUCAUAGAUUCAGGCGCAUUUGACCACAUGACUAAUUUAUCUCAUUUGUUUAUUUUUUAUACCUUGUUCUGGAAAUAAAAAAAAGUACGUAUUGCAAAUGGAAGCUUAUCUUCUAUUGUUGGGCAAGGCUCUAUCCGUUUGUCUGAUAAGAUUGUUUUACAAUAUGUUUUACAUGUCCCAAAAAUCUCUUGUAAUCUCUUAUCCAUAAGUCGUUUAUCUAAGGAUUCUAAUUGUCGUGUUGUUUUUUGUGCCUCUCUUUGUGAAUUUUAGGAUUUGAACUCGGGGAUGAUGAUUGGCUAUGCUAGAUUGAUUAACAAUCUCUACUAUUUUGAUGAUAACCGGUUUGAGAAUAAACAAGCUCAAGGUUUUAUUAGUUGUGUUCGUUCAAUCCCUGUGCAUGAUCAAAUAAUGCUAUGGCAUAACAGACUAGGACAUCCUAGUUUUUUCUAUUUAAAACAUUUGUUUCCAAGUUUAUUUAAAGGAAUGGAUUGUACUUCUUUUGAUUGUGAAACUUGUUUAUAAAAUAAAAGCCUUUUUAUUUGAUACAUCGUGAUGUUUGGGUCCUUCUAGGAUUACUACUUUAACUGGGAAAAAAUGGUUUGUGACAUUUAUUGAUGAUCACACACGCCUAUGCUGACUUUAUCUGAUGAACUCUAAUUCUGAGGUUGCAAAACUCUUUCAGGAUUUUUAUUCUAUGGUUGAAAACCAAUUUCAAACCAAAAUAAAUAUUCGUUGGAGCGACAAUGGAACAAAAUUUUAUAAUGAUUGUUUAGGUGAUUUUUUUGCUAAAGAAAAGUAUUUUACAUCAAUCAACUUGCAGGGACACUCCUCAACAAAAUGGAAUUGCAGAAUGUAAAAACAGACAUUUACUUGAAGUAGGUAGAGCUCUUAUGUUUUAUAUGAAUGUUCCUACACACCUUUGGGGGAAUGCAAUUUUAACAAGUUGUCAUUUGAUUAAUAGAAUGCCUACAAGGGUUCUAAACUAUGCAACACAUUUACAAACUCUUAAGAAUACUUUUCCAAACACAUGCCUCACCUCGGAUUUACCCUUAAAAAACUUUGGUUGUACAGAGUUUGUCCAUGUGCCAACUCAUUUUCGAUCCAAAUUUGAUCCAAGAACCAAAAAAUGUAUUUUUCUAGGUUAUACUCCUAAUAAAAAAGGGUAUAAGUGUUUUAAUCCUACCACUAGGAAAAUUCAUGUUAGUAUGGAUGUCAACUUUAUUGAAAAUAUUCCCUUUUAUAACAAAACUACUCUUCGGGGGGGCGCUCUAAUGAAGAUCGGUUUUGGCAACAAGAACAACCAAAACCUAGUUUUUUUUUUUCCUGAAAUAAAUCAAAAAACAGAUGUUUUAAUUAGUGAAAAAGGAGGAAAUACUGAUUUAUCUAUGCCAAACAAAAUUGCAUCACAAACAGGGGGAGAAACUCUACAACCUAUGUCCACUGAGUUCCAUGUUUAUAUUAGGCGCAAAUUUAUUUCUAAUACUGAGAAUAAUCAAGUCAAUCUCGAGCAUGGUCAAUCAUCAGCUCCUAGUUCUCAAAAUCCAGGUAAUCUUCCUAUGGACUCCACUCCUUUACCUAUUUCUGAUCUUGAUAUUCCUACUACAAUCCGAAAAAGAGUUAGGAAUUGUACCAAAUAUCCCAUUGCCAAAUAUCUAUCUUAUCAAAGACUCUCAGGAAAAUAUAGAACUUUCACUUCAAAUAUCUCUCACUUAUUCAUUCCAAGAACUAUACAAGAAGCACUAAGACACUCAGAGUGGGGAUCAGCAGUUCAAGAAGAAAUGAAUGCUCUUUUGAAAAAUAGAACAUGGGAAAUUGUUGAUUUACCUAAGGAGAAGAAGACAGUGAAAUGCAAGUGGGCUUUCACAAUCAAGUGUAAGCCCAAUGGUAGCAUUGAAAGAUAUAAAGCAAGGUUAGUAGCCAAAGGUUUCACACAAACCUAUGGAAUUGACUACCAAGAGACCUUUGCACCUGUUGCAAGGAUCAAUUCCAUUCGGAUUUUGCUUUCUCUUACAGUACAUUUUAAUUGGCCUUUACACCAAUUAGAUGUGAAAAACGCUUUCUUAAAUGGUGAUUUUGGAGGAAGAAGUGUUUAUGGAUUUACCAUCGGCUUCCGAAGAAAAGCUAGAAAAAAAAAAAGGUUUGCAGAUUAAAUAAGUCCUUGUAUGGUCUUAAGCAGUCUCCUAGGGCUUGAUUUGAGAGAUUUGGAAAAGUAAUCAAGCUUCGAGGAUAUAUUCAAAGUCAAGUUGACCAUACAAUGUUUUAUAAAUACUCAAGAAAAGGAAAGAUUGUUGUGUUGAUAGUUUAUGUGGAUGACAUUAUUCUAACUGGUGAUGAUAGUCUAGAAAUUGAGAGAUUGAAGAAAGCUUUAACUUGUGAAUUUGAGAUAAAAGAUUUGGGUCCCCUGAGAUACUUUCUUGGUAUGGAGUUUGCUAGAUCCAAGAAAGGUAUUUUCAUUUCUCAAAGAAAAUAUAUACUUGACUUAUUAAAUGAAACAGGUUUACUUGAAUGUAAGGCUAUAGAAACUCCUAUAGAACCAAAUUUGAAACUCCAACCAGCAAGUCCAGUAGAGGUGAUUGACAAAGAGAAAUAUCAAUGCCUAAUUGGGAUACUUAUUUAUCUCUCUCAUACUUGUCCCAAUAUUGCUUUUGCAGUAAGCAUGGUUAGUCAAUUCAUGCACUCACCAAAUCAAGGACACUUUGAUGCAACGUACAGAAUUUUAAGGUACUUAAAGGGGACUCCAGGAAAAGGACUUCCAUAUGAGAACCAAGGACAUCUCCAAGUGGGUGUGUUUACUGAUGCAGAUUGGGCAGGAAGUGUAAUUGAUAGGAGAUCAACUUCAGGGUAUUGUACUUUUGUUGGAGGCAAUCUUGUGACUUGGCGGAGUAAAAAGCAGAGUAUUGUGGCUAGAAGUAGUGCUGAAGCUGAGUUUAGAGUCGUAGCCCAUGACAUUUGUGAAGUUUUGUGGAUUAAACAAUCACUUGAAGAACUUAAGGUUGCUAGCCCUUUACCUAUGAAGGUCUUUUGUGAUAAUAAAGACGUCAUUGCCAUUGCACUUAAUGCAGUCCUCCAUGAUAGAACUAAACAUGUCGAGGUUGAUAAACAUUUUAUCAAGGAGAAAUUGGAAAAUAGACUGAUUGUUAUGCCCUAUAUACCUACGGUUGAACAAGUUGCAAAUAUACUCACUAAGGGAUUGCCAAAGAAGCAGUUUGAUGAUUUUGUAAGCAAGCUGGCCAUGAAUGACAUCUUCAAGCCAGCUUAAGGGGGAGUGUUGAAAAUCUCAAUCAUAUCAGAAUUUUUCUGAUCUGGUUGUUACCUAUUUUUUAGGGAUAAUUUGUUGCUGUUUUUUAGGGAUAGGCUGUAUAUUUUAAAUUUAUUUUGUUCCUAGAAAUUUGGGUGUAUAGUUAUAGAUUUAAUUUGAUUUGUUGUAACUUCACUAUAAAAGGAAGCAUGUUUACCUUCCUUACUCAAUUUAAUAUACGACAUUUUUUUUUUCUUUUCUACAUUAACCUUUUCCUAAAUCGCUUGAUACCAAAGGCAUAAGAAAUUAUCAGUAGACUCCAUCUCCAGUUUGCAUACAAGGCUCAUCUGCCGGAGCUUCCCCAACAUGCCCUGGUUUUGGCCAAGGUCGAACAAACCUAAUAUCAAGGCUUGAGCAAAAACGACUACUACAGCUUCACUUACCCAAAUCUCUACAAACAGAGUGAUAAAGGAGUCAUCCUCCUCCACACCCUGUGAGUGUUGAAGACUUUUUUCUAAGUUUCUCCACAACUUCAAUCUUCAAAUUUUAUUCUAACAACCCUAAUUAUAACUGUGGCUACAGAUGUCAGUCUUCAAAGUUUAUUGGUAAAAAAAAUAACAUGUUUCAUUUCCAUCCGUAAUCCCAAGGAUCAAACAAAGGGAACUGUCCAUGUUGCAAUCAGUUAAGGAUUCCCAAAAAAACUUAACUGAAUAAAUUGAUUACUGAGAAAUAAAUUGCACAAUAGAUUCAAGACAAUUUUUGCAAAAAGACCAGGUGUGCACUGUACAUUUCACCAAUAUUCUAUGUUCUCAGUGGAACUGCCAAUAUCAUUCUUCUGGACAAUGCAACUGCUGCAAAUAAUUGGAGAUAAAUAACCCAAAGAACCAUGUGAAUGCAAAAUGCUCCACAUUUAUUGUCACAAAGUAAGACUACAUAAAUAACAAAAAGCUAUAUUUUUUUGGGGAAAAAAGGCUGGAAUGCAAUUUAAGAAUUAUAAAUUACCUUCAACAAAUUCACUAAUUCCAUAUCUUUUCAAUAAUUAGUUAAAUAAUUGCUUCUUUUUUUUUUUUUGAUAGGCAAAAAAUAAUUUAUAAAAAAGGGGGCAGAAUCCAAAUACAUAGGAAGUAUGCAAAGGUCAACAAAGGUUGGGAAACAAGUAAAGGAAACACACUAAUGCAACCCCACCCAACCCACAAAAUCAUACACGGAUAAGCAUCCCCUCCCACACAAAAUCUGAACCAAAAAAGGAAUGUCUAAAUAAAAGAAACCUUUAACAAUUAAAUCAACUUCUCCUCUCUCUGUUUUGUUGCCUUUUUGGUACUGGUGUAUGCUCCUUGUAUACUUUGGUGCACCCUCUUUUGAUUAGUGUUGUUAAUAAUAUUCUUAUUUUCCUAUCAAAAAGAAAAAAAUAAAGAAAGAAAAAAAAACAAUUAAAUCAAUGUCUCCACACCUUAAAAGUUCUUUGGUUUCUCUCCUACCAAAUAAUCCAUAACAAAUAUAAUGGGACUAACCUCCAAGAUUUCUAUGUUUUUCCCCAAAAAAAAUCUUUGUGCCAUCCUAACAAGACAUCUGACCAAUAUUCUCUGUUUUAAUUGAAAUUGUUUUGAUUUUAUAAAAAUCAAGAAAAACCACAAAGAGGAUAACUAUGGUGUGUAGUAUCUGGAUGUCAUACUCUGGGACCAACAUAGUUGACUACUAAUGUAUUGUCUAUAAUAUUCAAAAGGCUAGCUUUAAAUCUAACAGAAUAAUUUCAUAUCAAAAAAUCAAAUUAUGAUGAAAAUUUGUUUUAAGUCAAAUCUAUAACUAAAGCUCUGAAGUUUUCACAAUCCAGCUUUGGACCCAGGACGCGGGAGAGAGCAAUAUCUAAAUCCAAGGUUUAGGAUCCAAGGUAUAUUCAAGAUUGAAUUAAGUCUAGAGAACAAUUCGCAUCCAAAAUGAGGAAACGGCAAACCACAUCCUAAUUCAUUGUGGUAAGACAAGGGAUCUUUGGAACUUAUUGUUUUCUUCGUUUGGGGUGGUGUGGGUGCUCCCGGAUUCAGUGAGAAAUUUGCUUCUUGAGUGGAAAAUGAAAGGCAUGGGGAAGAAAAGGAGUGUAGUUUGGAAAAUGGCGCCUAUUUGUUUGUUUUGGUGUAUUUGGGGAGAGCGAAAUUGAAGAACCUUCCUAGAGGAAGAGAUGACAAAUACGAGCUUGAGGAAACUUUUUCUUCGGUCCCUGCUUGAAUGGUCUCAACAAUUUGUGGACUUGGAUUUGGACUAUCUAUCUUUUCGGAAUUUGAUGGGUGAUAGGGUUGUUGCUUAGCUAAUCCUUUUUAGACUUUAUUUUUCUCUUGUUGCCUUGUUUUGGGCCUUCUUUGUAUACAGCUUGUGUACUUAGGGAGCACCCCCUGUUUUCUGGCGUUUUUUAAUCUAAUGGUUCUCUUUGUCUAUCAAAAAAAAAAUUCGCAUCCAAAACCUAAAUUGAUUCUUUUAUAUUCUAAUCACUAAAUCAAAUUGACAAAUCGAUUAGGUCUUAUGUUCAUUCAUUCAAGUCAUUAGUCCAUCUUGUAGAUUUAGCUUUGGACUUAAAUCCCAAUAGAUAAAACUAAGUUAACUAGUAAUCAAGUGGUGUCUAAGUACCACUAGUACCUCAAAAAACAUCUAAUAUAUCUUAUCUAAUUAAAACCACACAGAGAGUUUCCAUUCCUUCAUAUUUAAACAUUAAAACCCUAAUCUACCAAUCUAACCUUACCAUACUGAAUUGCUCCUCCUUGUCAUCCUCCACCUUCAUGAUAUAUCUCCAAAAUUAAGGGGUUUAGCCUCUCGUGGAUGAGCUUUAACACAAAGAUUCCAAAAGAGAAAAUAAGAAAUCUAAUAUUGAAAUUUAAAGAGCAAAGAGUCUCCAACAUACAAAGCAAAAUCAAACAAAGAAUGAAAAAACUUCUUUCUAACCUAACAGUGAAGAGUAUUAAUAUCCUAAUAGCAUAUUCCCAUGGCCACUUAAACCAAAAUAAUGUUAAAAAACCCUAAAUUACAAAAAUAAUCUUCGAAAGCAGAAUUUUCUAUUUGAACUUACAAGGAAUCUAAUGAAAUUGAUUUCAAGAUAUUAAAAUAAAAAAUUUCGAUGCAGAAUCAAUUUCUCCAUCAUGCUGAAACCAUCAAAUCAGUUUGAACCACUCCCAAAUCAGUAUUUCAAUGUGAUACACUGACUUCCCUUUAACAUACUUUCCCCAAAUUGAUUUCAAAUCGGUUAAACCGAUUUCAUGCAUUGGUAUGAGAUGAAUCGGUCUUCCUAAAAUCAAUUUCCUCUCCUGAAAUUGGUUUCUCUGAUCUCCAAACUGAUUUCCCAUACAUUUUGUGACUUCCUGCAUUUUCUCCACUUUGGCACACUGCAGCAACCACCAGGCCUCCUCACAAGCAAACUCGUACCACCAUUCCACCGCACAUGCUUAGACCUGCAUCAAAUAUCUCUUAUUUUCUCCAUUUUCUGCCCUUUUACUAAAAAAUAAUGCAUUACUCCUCGAGGUGGGCACUAGCACCAAUCUAAGCUAAAGGUAGUGGUUUGACCCGGUCCCAUGCCUAAAAGACAGUAAUAUUUUUAUAAGCAUACACAAUUAUUAAUAUCUGUAUGGUGGUGGAGUCUCCUUUUACUUUGAUCAGGUUUUGUAUUCUAUGAGAAGUAUCUCUCAUCCUUCUCUCUUUCUUUUAUCAAUAAAAUUGAUCUUUGUUUCUAAUAAAAUAUAUAUAUAUAUAUAUCUUUAUAAGCAUAGAUCUUGGCACAAAUCAACAUAUUUCACAUUAAAAGCAACAUAAAUCAACAUAUUUCACACUAAAGCAACACCCAUGACACAUUAAAGAGUGAGAACAAUAGGUACCAGAGACUAUGAGUUGCAUGCACCACAAUGAAGAAGGAUAUGAUUGGUUCAUUCCUCCUAACUCUUGCACAAGCAACACCAGUUAGCUAUAGCCCACCUCUCCUCCUUAGCUGGUCUAAUGCCAUAAUUUUUCCCCAAACCACCUCCCAAGUAAAGAAACCCACCUUAUGAGGAUCCUGAGAAACUCAAACUUCUUUGAUUAGAAAAGGAUCUUUAGUAACUAACUCCAAAGAACUGUAGCAGGGUUUUCCAAAGAACUUCCAAUCCUUAUUCAAUUUCCAAACCAACUUGUCCUGGCACUCUUUUUGAACAAACAUGUCUUAAAUUUACUUAAGGAAAGUUUCAACCAUUUCUAUCACCCAAUCUUGAACAUUUCUGAGAAAACAAGGGCUCUAAUGUCCAACACCUCCCACCUCCUCCCAAAGUCCUGUUAGCCAAGCAUCCAUAGAACUGGCAAUGAACUACAAAGCAGGAUACAAGGCUCUCAAAGAAAAAAAAGAGGGGGGGAAAAUCACCACAACACAGGUCAUGUCAAAACCUAACUCUCCAAUGGUCCUACCAUUGCAUACUUCAAAACUAUUCCUAGCCUGAAACUUUGCCUGCCUCUCCUUCCAUAGCCCCACCCCAUACCCUUUCCUCUCUUCACAAGAACACCACCCACCCAUCCUUUCAUCAAACUUAUGUGAGAUCACUCAUCUCCACAAGCUAUCCCACUCCAGAGAAAACAUCCAACAGCAUUUUCCAAGGACCUUGUCAAGUAGCGACAAAUCAGUCAACCAAUUAACUAAAUGAAGUUUUUCAUCCAAAGAGCAAACCCUCUAAAGGAAGUCCUCUGAGCCUUUUCCAAUCUUAAACUCAUCUUUGUUGGGAUAACAAAGGUAGGCAUGAAGUAGACAACCUUUAAACGGGUUAACCCUUGGAGAGAAACUGACAUUCUCAGAAAGCCAACUUCUUAGCAUAUGAAGUUGCUUCUCAGUAUGUGACAAGAUAACUUCUUGAUGAAAAGCAGUGCAUAGUUAAGUAACAAAAAUGCAAAGCAAUACAUCCUGAGAUGUAAAAGUAAAAUGGCUAAAUAAUUUCAUUUGGAAAUGAAUAGUAUCUGUAUACAUAGUGACAAACUGAACAUUAUCCAAGAGUAAAGAAUGAGAUACAAAAAACACAUACAUGAUGGAUUGUUUUGUGAAGGUUCUCCAUCAGUGUGCUGUAUGCUGUGAGAAAAAGCCAGUUUCCAAGGAGGUACAGAACAUAUAAAAUGAUGGUUUGAGAAACGUUUCCACCAGUACUCUGUGUGAUGUUCAAAACUUGGCUCCCUAACAAGAUGGAAAAAGGAGUUGCAAAGAAUGUGUAGAGAAAGUCCUGCAUCAUUGUGCUGUAAUACUGUACCAUCGUCAUUUCCCGUCAUUCAGCUUGCUUUUGAUCUCAGUUUUGACAAUACGAAUCAAGAACAAACCCGCUAGACAUAUUGCAAGGAUAAGCAUAAAAAAUACACUGUUCCAUCCUCUAGUGGAAAUAUAUCCAGCAAGAAGUGGACCAAGAGCUGCGCCAACAGAACCGGUACCAUCUAUAAUUGCAGUGACAGUAGCUAAUGCACGGGAAUUUCCCUUGAUCAAGCUCUGUGUACCAAGAUCAGCAGCGACAGCUGUUGUGAUAAGCGAGUAUGGACCAUUCACAAGCAACCCCGAAAGAAACAUCAACCCAAUGUUGGUGUACAUAGAUAUACUUCCAUAAACCCGGUAUAAAACAAGGGCUGGAAUAGAUAGUAACAAGAAUAUAAUUGAAGUAACAGCUCGAGCUUCAAUCUUAUCCGAAAUGUACCCUGCCAAAAUUCCUCCUAGAACUCCACCAACAUCAAAUAUAGUAGAAAGAAUCCCAGCAGUUUUGUGCGACAGGUGCACACCAGCAACAGCUUCAAUCCAAAACAAUUUUUAAUGGAUCUCGUUAGUUAGUGAUCAAAAGAGUCUCUUUAAGAAGUUAAACCAGGGGCGUGCUUAACACCCCAUGGAAAUUGAUGGCUCUAUUGUGUUUGUACAUAAAUUUACAGAGGGCCAUAAAAUAAGGCAAUUCAAUCUCCAUAAGACAUUCAAAAGCACUUCUAUACAUAGUUAAUAUUGAAAGAGAAAAAGAUUAAUAUACCCGUGUGCCUUAUGUAGAAGGGCAACCAGUAAAGGAAAGUGUAAGCCACAAGCUUGGAGAAGAAGAGGCAAAACGCAAAAGGCGCCACACCUGGUAACCUCCACGCCUCCAAGAACCCAAUUGCACCCGAAGAAUCUGUAACAUCGGAUGGAAGAAGCCCCGCAUCUUCCGAUUCAACUUUCUCUGAAUUUUCCAUAGAUUUAUUGGAUUCUACUUCCACAUUCAUCUCUAUCUCCUUUGCUAAAAGUUCGAAUCCAAGAUCUUCCGGAUUGACAACAAGAAACAUGAAAACAAAAAUUCCAAUGAUAAUGAUCAAAAUACCAGGCAACACAAACGACCACCCCCACCCGAAUUCCAACACCGCCGAUGACACAACUGACCCAACAAUGUUCCCAACCGAAGUAUGCGAAUUCCAUAAUCCCAUUAUCAACCCUCUCUUCUCUUUCCCAAACCAAUUACCCAGAACAGCCACAACACAAGGCCACCCAAUACUCUGAAACAAUCCACAUACAAUUUGCACCCCCACAAAAAACCCUAAUUUAUGAACAUUCAACCAAUCCCCCAACCCGAAUAUAAUUGUUAAAAUUCCACUACCUAACAUUCCAAUCACAAGGAACAGCCGGAGAUCCAACCGAUCACCGGCGUGACCAGAAAAAUACAUCCCAAUUGAAUAUGAAGAUAGGAAUGCGAGAUCGAGCUCGCCGAGACGGUGGGUGCCGUGAGGUCCAUUAAACGGAGCCCAACCGGUGUCGACUGAAGUGGAGUUGGAUUGAAUUUCGGGACUGAGGACGCUUUUGACUAUGCUGGGCGGUUUGCGGGAGGCGUGAAAGGAGGCGUACGCGACGAAGGUGAUGAGGAGAGCUGAGAUCCGAUGGAAAGUUAGGGUUUUGUGAGGGGGCUUGAGGGUUGGGAAGAGAUUAAGGCCAGGGGCUAGGGCUUGGGUGUUAGAUUGCAUUGUGUUUGGAGCCAAAAUUUGUUAAGAAAGAAAGGCAGUUUAAAACAUUUUUGUGCCCCUUUCCCUCAUUUUCCCGAGAAACAUUCAGGAAUUAUGCAGAAAUUACAGGGAAGAAGAUGAUAAUCUCGAAGCCAAGAAAACAUGCUGUGUUUGAUUUUUUGGAGGGAGAAUGCCAGGUUAGUUGGUUUCCGUUUCGUACACCCUAUGAUAUGGCUUAAAUUGAUUGGAGAACAGAUAGGGCAUGUUGUCUUUUUGAGAAACUCCAUGGAGAUUUUAGUAAUUAUGCUCUACCUAUGUGGAAAAGGUUUUCCUGUCAGCCCUUGCCACGUUGUCACGCGCUAAUGAAGGAGGAGGUCGCUCCAGCCUCCAGUAUGGGCUACAUCACACAGGCACCACUCUUUUCCCUUCGGGUUAAAGCAAACCUUUGAGUUGACUUUUGACCUAACGAAAAAUAAAAAAAUAAAAAAAUGAUAAAUGACUAAGCUAGAAGUGAAUAGGAUGUCCUCUGGCGCAUCCUAGUAUUGAAGUCCUGAACCAUAUGAUGCAUUUUCUUCUAUUAAUAACACUUGAACAGAAAAUGUUCCCUUCAAGUUUGCAAACCUACAUUCAUGUGGUUUCAUAACCUACCUAAUGGGCCUAUAACAUCUUUUACUUUGCCGAGAUAUCACAAAAUCAUUUUUAUUUUUUAACUUUUCAACAUUUACCCUAUAUAAUAUCCUAAUCCAACUUCUUACUCAAAUUAAAUUAAAUUCACUUUUAAAAUUAUAUAUUAAUUUUUUACUUAAAAAUAAAUUAAAUUAUUAAAAUUCCUUAAAUAUAUGUAAAAUCCUAAUUCUAAAAAUUUCAUCCUAAUUUUCAACCACCUAAAUCCAAAGUGAAGUGGAUACCAAUUGGAGACCUUAGAGCCUACGAGAGAAGUGUUUUCCAAACUCAGAAAAUAAUUUUAAUAAUUUUUUUACCUAAAACAAUUUUUUGAAAACCAAUUCUAAAAUAAAAUAUUUUCUUUGAAUUAUUUUCAACUAUUUUUAAAAAAUAAUUAGAUAAACAUAUAAUAUGAUUAAAAAUAAAAUAUUACUAAAAAUAAAAAUCACUUUUUAAAAUAUUGAAAAACACGUUAUGUUUAAAAGCUUUCAAACAAACUUUUAUUUCAAAAAUUAUAAUAAACUGUUUUUGAAAACUAUUUUAUAAGAGCCCGUUUGACAAUGAUUUUUAAAAGUGUUUCUACCCUUAAAAACACUUUUAAGUGUUUUUGGGAUGAAAAUAAAGCGUUUGACAAAUUUUAAAAAACACUUUUAAAAAUCUGAAAAAACACUUGAAGUGAUUUUUAGAGAAUCACUUGACAGGUGUUUUUUUUUAAAAACACUUCAAUUUUUUUGAAAUAUUCCAAAAUACCCCAGUGAUAAAUCAAUUAGAAAAAUCUUUUUUUUUUUUUAGAAAUUAAUAGGUGGUCAUAUAUUGUUUUACUUUUAAAAUUAUCUUUUAUUCAAUGUUUUUUAUUUAUUUAUUGAUUUAGAUGUUUUUUGUAAAUAUUUUUUAAAAUUUUAGUAUAGUGAUAAAAAAAUUAUUAUUUUUAAUUAGAAAAGUCUUUUUUUUUUUUUAGAAAUUAAUAGGUAAUCAUAUAUUGUUUUAAUUUUAAAAUUAUCUUUUAUUCAAUGUUAUUUUUUUAGUGAUUUAGAUGUUUUUUCAUUAAUAAAAAGUUUUUUUUGUUUAUCAUACCAUUUUUUUUAAUUAAAAUUGUAUGUCCUUUUUGGUAAUUUAUUAAUAUUAAAAGUGUUUUUAUAUUUAUACAAUAUAUUAUCAAAAACACUUUAGAAUCAUUUUUUCCGAUUAUCAUAAAAGUGUUUUUCACAGAAAUACUAUAGCAGAAAACACUUCAAAUAAAAACACUUCCACUAGAAUCACUACCAAACGGGCUCUAAAACAUUCUCCAGCAUGCCCUUUAAUACCAUCGGGAGCCAGUAAGCUUGCCCAUUCCACUAAUACAUUGGGCGGCGAACUUGAUAAUCAACACGACUGCCCCAUACUUUUAAGUACACCUCUUGACCUUUUCUAUUCAAUCUGGUUGCCAGGUCAAAAGGAGAAAGAACAGAAAAACACAAGGCCUGUGCCUUGGGAACGACUAAAAAAGCAUUAAAUUUCGUAACAAAAAUCCACCUAAGGCAAUUCCGUUGUUUUUUUAAUCCCCGAAUGGCAAUCAGAUGCACAAGUUUUUUGCAUUUGAAUUGAACUUGUACAGCUAACUAUGAUGAAAAAUGUGAGGAAGAGGACCAAAACAUCUGUAACAAAACCCUGCUUGGUGAUGCAGGAUAUCCAGCGAUCAGAAGAUGAGAUUAAACAGAGGAAUGCACUCCUGUCUCCUGACUUAAAUCAUUUGCUGAUGAAGGUCGGCUGCCUGCUGGGCUAGCUCCACCACCAUAGCCUCGUCGAAGAAUUUAUUGAUGCUUACAUCUUCACUCAUACCCUGCCAAAGAAAAUGGAAAUGCAAAAGAUUGGAUUAUAUAUCGUCUUCAGAUGGGUUCAUUAGAUCAUAUUAUUCUGUGUAACUGAAAUUGUCUGUUUGAAAUUCAUGGUUGUAGAAUGUCUUUCCUUCUGCAUGCUGAUGACUACUGAACUAACUUCAUUUGUCGUAAAACUUAUUGUUUGUGUUUCCUUCCACAAAGGAAAGACAUGAAAGGCAUGCAUUUGGCAACAUGCCAAUCAUCCUUGGCCUUUACUUGGAAAGAAAAAACAUUUGACUAGCAACAUGGUUAAAGAAACAUAUCUUAAAAACACCUUCCAAUGCAUAUUACAGCAAAAACCACACACACAUAAAAAGUGCUAUGAAGCACCUUUUCAGAUUCCAUACCUUUCUACGCCUUGUCUUAACCAUGAACUCACGAGCAAGGUGCUGAAUCGGUGCAGGUUCCAGUGGCCGCAGGACAAUACUCUUAUCAAGAGGGUCCCCUGGAACUAUAGCCCAGUGAUCAAACACAGAGGCGCAAAACGCUUGCCCUUGAGUAUGGUACCUCAAGUCUGUCUCAAACCCAAAUGAUUCUAUCACUGGCAAAAAUGCCUGAAAAUAAAUAAAUAAAGACAUUCAAAAAAUCAAGUUGCAAUUAGAUGAGUUUUCAAGCAUGUAUAUCUAGAAAAAAGACUUGGAACAUAUAAACCAAUAUGACCAACAAUAUCAUGCAUUUUACAUGAGAGAUAAAUUGGCAACACAUGUAACAAGAUGGAAGGAAUAAUCCCAACCAUAUGGGGUCAGCUCCAUUUAAUCCAAUUAAUGCUAUUCUAAUGUAUCUUCGAAAUUUAUAAUGAUAAUCUUGCAUAUUGUAUUAUCAAAUUUCUCAGUCAUAAAAAUUGGACUGGCAAGUCGGCUGGCAGUUCCAAGUGUUACUAAUUGUCCUCAAUCUCAUAGAAAACCAUUAAGAUCAAUCAUGAAAAUUUUCCAAACAUUUCCUUCAAAACUGUAACUAUAAAAGCAAAGUACAGCCAUCAAACCUUAACAAUAUAGGCUGGGGUCCCUGGUUGAGGAACAUCAGCUGUAACAUGCCCACGCCUGCGAGAUAAGACAGUGUAGAUUGCAGAGACACAGUCUAUUGGUGUUUGUAUCUGAAACAGAGAAACCAAAUUAAAUAACACAGUGAUGUCAUCAGCCUGAUAAGGGAAAAACACAUUUAAGUCUAAUAACAGAUUGAAACUAAAUAUUCUUUUUAGGGAUGAUUAAAUAUCAACUUGUUUACUGUCUGGAUCUAUGAUCCCUAUGAUUCUAUAUUCAGAUACACCUUCAAGGAAGAAAGACUUCCUUCUUAACUUUUAUGAGAAAUUUCUAUGAACUAGAAAAUUGCACGUUCUAGUUUUAGCAAUAUCCAGAAAUUUCACUUAAAAAAUGAAGCCUAAUUAACAAAUUUUCUACAUUUUUUGAGGCAACUAUGAAUGGUCUUAGGGGUUGGGUUGCUCAAAAGAUAAGUAAUAUGUUCAGUUCCCAUGCCCAGGCACAGUCCAUUUGCAGUCUUUUUUUUUUCCUUGAAUGAUGAGUGGAAAGAGGGGUCAUUAGCCUGCAUUCUUCCUUCAAUAGCUUAAUAUAGCAAAGUAUUUACCUCCACAUAGUAUACAGGUUCCAUAAGUCGUGGAGUUGCCAUAAGGAAUGCAGAGUAGGCCACCCGCCGAGCUGUAGGAAUGAUCUGACCAGUUCCUCGAUGCAAGGGCUCAGGUGCAAUCCUUGCAUCGACUAUUUUGAACUUAACAUUUCUGAUGGGCUCAUCACACAGGGGUCCUUCUCGGGCACCCCAUUGAAAUCUAUCCAGAACAACACACACCCUUAAUAAAAGGCAAAAACAAUAAUAAAUGAAAAAAGAAACUAAUGACAACAUAGUUUACCCUUGAACAAUGGAAUCUUUGACAGCAUUUAGUAAGUUCUUAUCAACUUCACUAGAGAGAGUAUCAUCUAACAAAAUGUUAGGCCCCUGCAAGCAGCUCAUUGGUCAGACAGAAACAUGGCAAUCAUACACAUAAGAGCUAGAUUGGAAAAAGAUUUGCAAGAAGUUAGGAAUAUAUCAAAGGAAGCGGAUGGAAUAACAAGCUGAAGUUAAUUUUUUUAAAAAGGGAGGUAUUGAUUAAACAACAGUAGGGUUGUAUCACUGUUAGAAGUUGAAACUUUUGCCAAGUACAUUACCUGCUUAUCUGGCCCAAAUGCCCAUAUGGACCUUGCAGCCAGCAAAUCCCAGUCAUAUUUUGUUUGAAAAAAGUCACCAAGUUUCUUUCGAUGCCAAUCAAUGCUUACAACACCAUUCUCAAUAUCCUCCGCGAGUCCUUUCUCCAAUGGCUCUGCAAUCUAGCAAAGAAAAAAACACAAAAAAAAAGGUUGUUUAAAUAAUUAAUAUACUGCAUAAAAUUGAAUCAUAUAUGAUUCUUGAUAGCCCCAGGAUCAAGGGAAGGGAAAAAAAAGGCAAUAGAUGACUUCCCUACCAUGGUUAUUUUAUUCUUCUUGUUGGGUGUUUCAGCAAAACAUUUCAUUGAUGAAGACUCCACCACAGUUUCACAAAAUGAUACAACAGGAUCUGCCACCUAUAUUUUAAGUAAAGCACAAGAAGCAAAAGCAUGCUCAUCAACAAAAGGCACAUCCCUCCAUCGAAAAGGCAAAAAGGGUACUCACAUGAAAGUUAAGAUCAACCAUAAAUCAAAUAAGAGAUCGAUGUGAAAUAGAUACCUUGACUUCAACUUCAGAAUACAGCUCUCUAAGGUCCUUCAUGAUAGAAUCCAAAUACAACUCCCCAGUACCUAAAAUAGUGUGUUCUCCAGACUCCUCAACUUUAGUAAUUGCUAAAGGAUAGCUCUUACUGAUCUUCCUAAGACCCUCCACCAUUUUGGGCAACUCACUUGGAUUUAAAGGCUCAGUAGCUGUUUUAACUACUGGAAGAGUAUUAAACAGAAGAGGCCGAAAUAUGUAUACAUCCUCAUCAUAAUCCAAAUUACAAAGUGUGGCAGUCUUCAUAAUUGAAGCAUCCACACCUUCAAUGAGAACCCAAGAACCAGGAGGAGCCUUGCUUAUGGGUAUUCUGUAACGAGCUUGAUAAACCCAUAAUUUUGUAACUUCCUUUACUGUCAUAUCCUCUUCGUCUUCUGGUGAAUAGCCUUCUCCCAGCACACGUAAAGUCUGCCCUGUUUGGAUUUCACCACUAUAAACCCUACCAAAAGCAUCAAAAACACUGCAAUCAGACUUUGGAUACAGUUUAGUCACAUUAACCAUUAGAGGACCAGAAGAAUCACAAUCUUCCAUGGCCUGGUAUAUUGCAGAAUCUUUGGGUCCAGUAUAAAUAUGAUCAACCUUCUUAGCUGCAGCAUCUUUGGCAGAAGGAAUAUGCUGAACCAGCAUAUCAGUGAAACCUGUCGCUGAACCAAAGACUGAGCUACAGGCCAACCUCAGCAAAGGCCUAACAUUUAGUUUGUAGGCUGCAUUACUGAGAGUGACACCCAGUUCUGCAAGGGUACUCUCCACACUCUUCUUAUGUUCUCCAAUUACUUGGCUAUAUAUCUUGUAGAGGGGCUCAAGCACAAACUGGACAAAUGAUCUUUCCCCUCCACUUGCAGGCGGUUUCUUCCUGAAAACCCUAGCAUCAGGAUGAUAAUACAUAUCUCCCCAAAGCCGAGAUGCAAACUUAUUGGCAUCAAAUGGGACGCCAUGGAGUUUGACAUAUAGUUUAGCAAAUGAUUGCAAAGUAAAAGACCAUCCUGCACUAGCACUAGCAAAACAGACAUUUCCAGCAGCCGGGUCUAUGAUUUGGACAUUUCCUGCAGUUGAUGAGGCAGCAGAUAUGUGAUUAUUGAUGAGUUCCAGAGUAUGCCUUAGCUUAUGAUAAGCAUCCUUUGGGGGCAAUUUGAGUUCAGUGAUCAGCCUGUCAACCUUGAAAAAAUAAGAGAUUAAAAUAAAUUAAUAAAAGAGAAUACAAGGAAGUCUAUGAAGUGCUCUGCUUCGUAGAGUUGAUUAAAAUGGUACAAAGAAGUUUUGACCACCAAAACAAAGGGUUAAAAGGUACCUUAUUGAUUACAACUACAAUAGGAAGGCGCUCUUGGAUUGCAUGGCGUAUAGCCCUUUCUGUAUUUACCUGUGCACAAAAGAAUUAUCGAACAUUUCAUGUCAUUACAAUCUCUCUCAAAGCAACUGCCAAAGCCAUUAAUUCAGGAAAAGGACAGAAAUGAGCAUAUUGGAUAAUCAAUAUGAACGGGUUGAACAUAAUUCUUCUUUAAUGAGAAAGUUUACCUGCUUCCUAUUAGUAAUUUGGUUCUAACUAUUCUCUCACUAAGGUAAUCUAAGCCAGGCCCUUUUAAUAUUAACUAGGUCGAUUAAACCUUGAUUUCCACAACUGGAUACAUUCAUCACUUGGGUACAGACAUCUAUACUUAUUCAACAUGGUAUUAAUCAUAUAUCUCUAUUUUGACUUAGUUAUGGAGUUUGCAUCUCUCUCUAUCUUUAACUUCAAAUUGUCUUUCUUCAACAUUCCUUUAUUUUCAGAACUUACUUUUUUUCUUUUUUUUCUUUUUUUUUCCAGGUGAUAGGCCAUAGCUUACUUUCAGUUAUCACCCUCAUUAAUAUUAAGCUUGUUCCACUAAGUCUGAUAAAAACAGGGAGAAGCAAAAACAACUAUCUUAAUUACAUGCAUCCUCCAACAGCAGGCAGAAACACUCAAAGUUGGGGUCAAAUAAUUAAACCUGCAUAUAUCUCUUAACUUUUAUUCCACUACUCGACCUAUAAAUUAUCAAAGCUAAAGUUCUAAUAGACUUGACACUUUUGGAAUUCCCCAAUCAAAAAAACAAAACAAUAAUUUCUUAGUUCUGAUGGGGAAUAAUUAAUAUGGAAGGGCUUUAAAGAAGAAGAGGUAUUUGGGUAAUACAUGAGUAAAGAUAGGCAGUAUGAACCUAAAACUAGGUUGAAAAGCUUUGUAGGUAAGAAACCAAUCAUAGAAGCUUACAGCAGAAGUUCAGAUUGAGUCAUAUCUAUUUUGCACUGAUUAUAGAUAAGUUAGUUGAGCAUUUAUGUGUUGGUGACAUCUACAAUACUAUGUUAAAGGAAGAGGUGUCCAAUCUACACAUCCACAAUUAGUGACCUGGCAUAAAUUCCACCUCCAAUUAAAAGAUAUGGAUAUAAUGAUUUUAUAGGAAGUACAGGUGAAACACUGGAAUCCAUUAUUACUAGGGUAGAGUGGAAGGAGGGAUGAACUCACAAGACCGCCACUCAUAAAAUUUUCACAAGAGCACAACGUAAGGAAUGUGCUCAGUUGUACAUUCCAAUUGACAAGACUAGGAAAAAUACUAAUGAAAAGUUAUAACCAUGUAAGGAAGCUUUAAAAUAAAAUAAAAAAAGCUGUGAGAAAAUAACUAAUGUGGAAAAUGUAAUAAAAUUACAAAAAUAAGUGCUUUUUUGGAUACACUUCAUGUUUUAUUGUUUUUAAACAAAGAAAAUAGUAGUUUCUAUCCCUUUUACGCAUCCCUAAAUCUGUUACAAAAAGGAUUGAGAAAAUCCAAAGAGAUUUCCUUUGGGGGGGAGGAAGUUUGGAGAGGAAAGCUCACUUAAUUAAGUGGAAGGUGGUUUGUAGCCCUAAGGAGGAGGGAGGAUUAGGCAUCCGAAAAAUAGAUGUAUUGAACAAAGCCUUGCUGGGCAAAUGGGUGUGGAGAUACGCCUAUGAGAAGGAGAAUCUAUGGAAAAGGGUGAUAGGGGUGAAAUAUGGUCAAGAGGGGUGUGGGUGGAGGACUAAGGACGUUUGUGGGCCUUAUGGAGUGGGACUGUGGAAGGAGAUCAUGAAGGAAGCUGAUUGGUGCUGGGAGAGUAUUGUGUUUAAGGUAGGCAAGGGGACCAGAAUUUUGUUUUGGAUGGAUAAGUGGUGCGGUAAUGAGGCCCUUUCUCAAAUUUUCCCUCAGCUGUUUACUUUGGCGGGUCAUAGGAAUGCCAAAGUAAGUGAAGUGUGGGACUCUAGCCUGGGUCAAGGAGGUUGGAAUCUCAGAUUGGCUAGAGAUUUCAAUGAUUGGGAGCUGGAACAGAUAGGAAAUAUGCUGAAUCUGCUGAAGGAUUUCAGGACUUCGACUGAGGAGGAUGCUGUAAGAUGGAAAAGGGAAAGCAAUGGUGUUUUCGGGGCUAAGGGUGCUUACAAAAUGUUGGUUGGGUCCUCAGCCUGUGUCUUCCCGAACAGACGCAUUUGGAUGAAUAAGGUGCCAACAAAAGUAUCUUUUCUUGCUUAGGAAGCUUCGUGGGGGAAGAUCCUCACCUUGGAUAAGCUUCAAAGAAGGGGGCGGCAGCUCCCUAACCGGUGUUUUCUGUGUGGAUGUGAAGAGGAAAAUGCGAAUCAUAUUAUGUUACAUUGUACAGUGGUUAAGACUCUUUGGGAGAUCGCUCUCGCCAUUUUUGGAGUCCAAUGGGUGUUCCCAGAAUCAGUUAUAGAAGUGUUACUUAGUUAGAGGGGUUCUUUUGUGGGGAAAAAAAGAAAAGACACCUGGAAUUCCAUUUCGUUGUGCAUUUUUUGGACGGUUUGGAAGGAAAGGAAUAGGUUAGCUUUUAGGGGGGGGUCUUUAGAUAUACAAAAAUUCAAGAAUUUUUUUGUAUGUAAUUUGUGGAGUUGGGCUAGGGUGUAUAUUGGUGAGGAUACCUAUUCUCUUUUAGGCUUUUUGGAGUGGCUUGCGGUCACUUGAGGGUGGGUGAGGUUUUCCCUCUUUUUUGUUCAGUUCGUCUUUUUGGGCAUUUGUGUAUACCCCCUGUAUACAUGCGGCUUUUUAGCCUUUUCUAAUAUAUUCUGACUGUUUAUCUAUAAAAAAAAAAAACAAAGAAAAUAGUAGUAAUUUUCAUGUAAAAUAUAACAACUCUUAUAUGAAAAGUAUAAACCUACCUCAUGUCUUUAAAAAUUACUUUGUAAAUUAGAGGUAGGUUUAUACCUCAAAGCGUAAAAUCCAAAAUCUUUUUAAGGCAAGUCUCAAAGAGUUCUUGCAUUUUAGACAGAAGUUACCAUUGUUUUCCUUUUGAAAAAAUAAAAAACAAGAAGUGCAUCCAAAAGACACCUAAAUAAUCUGAUGUUAGAUUGACGUCUACAAGAAAUCCAGGAGCAACUAUUUGCAUUAUUUUCUUUUCAUACAUGCACAGUGAUUGAUGAAUCAAAGAGAACAUUCCUUGAAGAACUAAUGCUAUAUGAAUGAACAAGAGAGUUAUGACACAACUAUGAAUACAUCCUGUGUACUUGGAUUGCACCUUUUUUUUGCUAGGCCCCUUCUAAUAAAUCAUUUUUCUAUCAAAAAGAACUACAAUCAUAAAAUCCUCAAAUUUCAAAUUUCUAAAUGUUGCAGCAUGUCAGCCUAAAAAGCACGAGAAUAAGAUGAAUUGAGUACAAAAACUAGAAGGAAUAGAUAUUAAGUCAUUUCCAGCAGAAAUGGGGGCAAAAUAAAGGCCAAUGAUUAAACUAAUUAUGAUUGAAAUGGUUAAAGUAGCAAGUACUAUGAACAGAGGGAAGGUCCAAGGAACGUAAAUCUUAAGAUAGUGCAAAAGAACCUAGUGGCCUACCAUUCUUCAAGAAAAAAUGCACACAAGUCACAACGUAUAAAGAUUAAGAUUCUGAUGGUUGAUGACGUAUGGUUGAGAUUUGAUACCAGAAUAAGAUGCAUACAUAACAUGCCUCAAGCUCAAAACUUUUCAGUGGGUAUGAGGGGUUGCUCAGUGUUUCAUGCGGCACUUUGUUAUUGGGCAAUUUUCUGUGUGUUUGCACGAGUGCCAUCAUGUGUUUGGCUUCCUCAGAAUUUAAAAAAAAAAAAUAGCAUACCUGAAAAGAAACAACAGAAGCAGCCAAAGAAAAGGGUCACUUACCAUUACUCCUUCAGCAGCAUCCACAAUCAAGACAGCACCAUCGGCAAGUCUGAGAGCAGCAGUCAUCUCAUCAGAGAAAUUUACAUGACCUGGAGUGUCCAUGAUGUUACAAAGAUAAGAUUUUGAAUUGCUAUCCUCAAGAACAAGUGACAUGGGAACAGCCUUAAUUGAUAUCCUUCUCUCUUGCUCAUCAAUCCUCGUAUCUGUGUAUCUCAUGUGCUUCUCACUAUUUGAAUCAAAUGUUGAAAUAUGGUGUGUUUGCUCAACCAGCAUGUCCAUGAAUAGUGUCUUUCCAUGCUGUAAAUGUCCGACCAGAGCAACAUUCCGAACCAAAGCUGGGUUUGACAUAAGACCCAAAAGAAACUGGGUUGACACAUAUGUCGACGAAUCCUUCACUCCCAACUCAAACUUAAUAUUCCUAACAGGUUUGAUUAUUGGUUGUUCAAGUGGUUGCUCAUCUUCAUCCAUUACCAAGGUUUCAACAUCUUCACCAUAGACUUCUUCAGCAGUAGGAUAGUACUUUUUGUCUUCAGCAAGGACAAUCUGGUUGUCCAUGUCAACAUCAUUAGAUGCAGUUAUCCACCCAUUAGAGGCUGCAACUGCAUCCUCAACAUCAGAUACCAUUUCCUCUUCAUCAGGCUUGUCAGGGAUGUCCUCAUCUUGAUCAUCUCCAUCACUUUCUCUGUCAGACUCAAUUUCUGGUCCAAUGUAGUUUCCAAAUUCAUCAUAUAAACUGUCAUCCAUGGUUCUUUCAAAUCUGCCACAUUGUAUAACCAAUUAUUAGUAUGGAACAGCAACCACCCAAUCAAGAAAGAGUUGUUUAGGGCAAUGUUCGGUUCACAAUCAUCAAUGGUCUUUGCCCACUUAAGACCAAAUGUUCUCUUAGAGCCUAGGCACGACAGGGAAGCCCAUGGCAUGGGCUCGAGUGAAAUGAUGCAACAUUAAUUAAUGUAAUUUUAUAAAAUUUAAUACGCUAAUACUUGUUGCAUACCAUAAAAAAAUAAGAAAAAAAUAUUCUCAAGAAAUUCAGGGAAAAGAACAUUUCAGUAAUUUCAUGAAGAGUUUCAUUGAAUAGUCUCAGUAAUUUCAGUUUUUAAAAAAUGUAUAAGAAAAAAGGCCAAAGUUUCCAAAGAGUGCACAUGUGAGCUAAAAACAGCCAAGUGUCCAGAAAAUGCAAAAUCAUCUAAGAAAACUUAAGUGAGAAAAAUUAUAAAUAUGUCAUAAUGCAAAUUGUACCAAAAUUUUAAAAGAAAAAUUUUCCAAAAUAUCAGGAAAAAAAAUCUCAAAAAGACAUUUCAGGAAAAAUUAAAAGAGAAAACGAAGAAGUAGAGCGACAAGUGUGUGCAGUGUGACGAAGUAAGAAACAAUGAAACAGAGAGCGUGUCGGAGCGAGUGGUGCAGUUGGGACUUGAAAGUUGUUGGUAUCUUCUCCUCCCCCAAGGAGGAGCAGAAGAGACUUGCAGGAAGAUUAGGAUUAGGGUUACUUUUUACAGAGAAGAGAGAAGAAAUUAAAGAAAUGUCGGGGUUUGGAUCUUUCACCUUUUCUCAAUUUGACCCAAAAACGAAAAAUGAAAUGGGUUUUUGAUUUGGUGAAUCCUGCAUCUGGGUUUCUUUUCUGAUCAAUUUUCCAGUCAUAUUCAAGAUGGCAAACAAUUCAAGGGUUUUAACCUAAAUACUACAAACCAUCAAACAGCUGAUACUAGAAUCAAAAGAAUAACCCGUUUUUGGAUUUUUUUUGCGCAGAAAUUGAAUUAAAAUUACCUAAUCCUUACAGACACGUAUACAUCCAGAGAAAGAGAUAUAGAGAGUACCUGAAGAGGGAGUUACAGGAAGUGAAUCCAACUGAGUGUUCAAGAGUAUUGAAACGAGAGGGUUUAUAGAGGGGUUGGCCACGGCGCGGCUGUCAAGAGGAAUUGGGCCUACACCUGGCUAGAUAAAGCUCGAGCCAUGUAGGUUGGACUGAGUUUGAGCCCAAUGGGCUCGAGUAUGUUGGCCUCCGGUGGCUUACUCUCUGUUUGGAAACUAUUUGGCACUGUACCUUGAAAACAAUGUUCUGUCGAACUUAUGACAAAAAAAUUAAAAAAUAAUAUUUAUUUAUUGAAUACAAAUGUUUAUAAAAUUGAUGGUAUUAAAAUGCUGUAGCAAAAAUAUAAUUGUUGGAAAAAAAACCACAUAUGAAGCAAUUGUCAAAGAAUCAUUUAAGUAAUUACUCAAAUCUACUUCAAAUGAUUAUUUAUAUUUUUAAAAUCAAAUUUAAAAACAUUGUUAUAAAAAACAACUUUUAAACAUUAGGAAAUGUAUAUAGUAUUUACGAAACCAUUCUCAAAUAAACUUCAAUUACCUAUUAAUAUUAACUAUUAUAAUUUUAGAUUAUUUAUUUGAUUUCAUCGAUACCACAAAAUCAUAUUUGAAAAGUCGCAGUAUGUUUCUCAAUUGCCAUUUAAUGGAAAAAGGUUUUGAAUUAUCUUAUAAAAUGCCUAAAAUCUACAUUGGUUGUUCACGGAUGAAUUCUUUUUUCAAGUAGCGAAUGAAAUUACAAAAAAUUGAGAACCAUUAUAUUUUUAUGAUACAAAUGUCUUAACCUUAAGAAAAACAGAGAAAAAAUAAAUAGAUAUAAUUCAAGAGAAAAAACUUUUUUUAAAGAACUCUAUUCAUUUGACUUUUGUCAUAUAAAGAGUGUGUGAGAAAGAUUUUUUUUUUAUUUUAUUUUUUUGUAAUUGUAUAAUAGCAUUUUUGUGUAAUUUUAAUUUCCAUAAAUUGUUUCAUGUUUCUUAUUUUGUUGGAUCGAGUCGAAUCAGUCCACAUGAGCACCCAAACCCAACUCCAACACCAUUAAACCCAUUUUUACAAUCAAUGAAGAUAAAAAAUUAAAUUAAAAAUAAUGAUUGGUAAAAUUAAAAAUUUUGAUAAUGAAAAUGUAUAAUAUAUAAAAUUUAAAAAAUGUUAACUUAUAGAAAAAUUAAACUCAUAGUAAGCUAAUAAAAUAAGAGUAUAUUCAUGUUCUUAAAUCACCUAUAAGAAGUGUAUUUAAUCUUCAACCACAAGUCAGCAAGACUUUAAUAUUACUUCUUUUUUUUUAUCACGUUUUGAAAAAAUAGAAAUAUAGUAAUGAUUACUCCAUGCUAUCAAUUACUAUACAUACAUAUAAUUAUUUACUUAAUUUGGAUUGGAGUUGCUUUAUUUUCCCCCAUACCUAACAUAGAUCACAAAAAGGCCUGCCUUAACCCUUCCAAGAUUGGAUUAAAUUCAGUUAAACCUGUUCAAAUUACAUCCUUAAUUGAUUUAGAGUAUUAUUGACAACGAUUUUAAGAAAUGUUUAUGGUAUUUAUAAUUUUUAAAAGAUAAAAUUUUUUAAGUAUUAAAAAUAUAAAAAUACUUUUUAAAAUUAAUGUUAAAUGCAUUCUUAAAAUUUGUUUAAAAAUGUUAGACAAUUUGUCUAAAAAGUAUUUAAGAAAAAUGCUUUUUAUUAAAAACAUUUUGAGUAGAAAUGAAAAUUUUUGUUAUGGAGUACAUUUACCCGAUCAUCAUCAAUUGUUGAGCAAAAAAUUUAAUGACUUGCUCAUGUCAUAAAAUACGGUAGUCAUGAAAAUAUUAAUAAAUUAUUUAGUUGAAAACAUUAAUUUAAUGAUUUGAAAUGUUACAUGAAUUAUUUAACAGGGACAUACCACCUACAAUCAUAUUAAAAAUCAUGAGAAAUAUUUGAUAAGUAAUUUGUCUAAAAACACUUUAAGAAAAACACUUUUUAUUAAAAACAUUUUGAGUAGACAUAAGGUGAAAAUUCCUUUUAUGGAUUACAUUUACCCAAUCAUCAUCAAUUGUUGAGCAAAAAAUUUAAUGAUUUGCUCAUGUCAUAAAAUACGAUGGUCAUGAAAAUAUUAAUAAAUUAUUUAGUUGAAAACAUUAAUUUAAUGAUUUGAAAUGUUACAUGAAUUAUUUAACAGGGACAUACCACCUACAACCAUAUUAAAAAUCACGAGAAAUAUUUGAUAAGUAAUUUGUAUAAAAACACUUUAAGAAAAACACUUUUUAUUAAAAACAUUUUAAGUAGAAAUAAGGUGAAAAUUCCUUUUAUGGAUUACAUUUACCCAAUCAUCAUCAAUUGUUGAGCAAAUAAUUUAAUGAUUUGAAAUGUUACAUGAAUUAUUUAAAAAGGACAUACCACCUACAACCACAUUAUAAAGUUUGGAAAAGAAUGUCCAUCCAUUGAACAAUGGAAGAAAGUGUGCCACCAUAGAAAACAUUAAUAAGCUCAGUCAUGAAAAUAUUAAUAAAUUAUUUAGUUGAAAAGUCCAUUCUUCCUUGUGUACGCUCAAAGGUCUUAGGUUUGAUGAGUUAAAUUUUAUUUUAUAUCUUAGAAUAAGAAGUUAAAUUGAAAAACCGAGAAUGAGAGAGAAGAGGAAGCCACAAACAUGGCGGUCGCUUCUCACAUUUAUUGUAACACACUUCACACACAUACACACGGAUGAAAGUCCUAGGCCACCACGUGUCACAAAUCACAGAGUCUGAGGGCAUUAUUUAGUAUUUAGUAUUUACUACAACACAACCCAGAAAGCAAAAAAGAGAAUUACAAACACAACCCUCUCAUUCAGCUGCUGGCCGUCACGUCCCUCCAUUCACAUUAUGACUUGUAGGCACGAGUCUCAAGGGUGGGUGGUUAGCGACUUACCAGGGGCGUUGGGGAGGGCCAGGAGGACCGGGAGGACCAUAAGGCCCCGGAGGCGGAGGGCCAAAGGUACCUGGCGGACCCGGGGGUGGCGGACCAGGGGGUGGCGGACCAGGGGGUGGCGGACCCGGGGGUGGAGGUCCCGGGGGCGGCGGCCCGUGGUGGUGUGGGUCGUGUGGUGGAUGAUGCAUCUUCUCUUCUUCUUCAAGGAAGCUGUGGUGUGGCGAAGGGGUUGGAGGGGGCUUCUCAAUUUAUAAUGUAGGGGAUGUGUGAGAAGUGGGAAAUGAGAUGAAAGGCAGCUUAAUUCAUCCUAUGUUUAUCUUUUUUAUCUACAAGUCAAACUUUGAUUUCUUUGAUUUUUUAUUAUUUUUUAGACGGUGUCACCUACUAUUCUAGAAGGCAAAGGGAAAUUGACAUCCAAAUUUUAUUUUCAUUUUAUUUUUUUGCCUCACGGCUCGGGCAUCUAUAAUUAUUUAUUUAUCAAUGUAGAAAAUCCUUGUGGGGAUAAAAGACACGUGAGUUCUGAUGGGGCGGGCCUCCAUCCCCGCAAUUCAAUCUCGCAUUCGCAUUCAUGUAUUAGGGUUUUGGACCACAAUAAUUAAUUAAAAAAAAUCAUAUUUAUAAUGACCUGUAAAAUAAUUCUCAAUUUAAUCCUUUUUUUUACAUGAAUUGUCACGUUCAUAAUUUUUAUUUUUAUUUUUGAGGUGCUUUCCAAUUUUUUAAUUUAAAAAUGACCUCGUUGAACACGUGGUCAGUAUGAAUUAAAUUAUAUAUUUUUAAAAUUCAAAUUAUAUUUAUAAUUAUUCCAAUCUUAUUAUGUAGAUAUUAUCCCAUUUGAAUCAAAAGUGGACAAUAUUUACACAAUUGUAUAUUGAGGAUUUGAUUGAUUCAUGAAGAGUAUUUGUUUACUUGACUUUAUAAUUUUUAAGAAAUGACAAAAACAUUAUGUUUGCAUGUGAUGUUCGUAAUAUUUCACAUAGGAUUGAGAAGGAAGUUAUUAAUUCUAUAUAAAUAUGAAAUUUUCUUAAUCAUGUAAAUGUGUUAUAAAGUUACAAGAAUCCUGUCAUCCUUAAAGAGGAUAAUGCUUACAAAUGUUUCAAAAUUAAUUUUGACUUUGUAGGGAGUGUUUAUCUUUUUGUGAAAAAGGAAAAUUAAAACUCUUUUUUAAAAUAAUUUUAUGAUAUUAAAAAUUAGAAAUUUGAAAAAUAAAAAAUAAUGUUUUGAGAACUUUUGAUGAAAUUAGGAUAUUUGAAUUAUUUUUCUUGUUUUAAUGAGAUUAUUUUUAAAAAUAAUUAUAUAAAUAUAAAGAAUAAUUUAAAAUAAAUUAUUGUAAAUAAAAACUAUUUUUAAAAAUAUAAAAAGAAUAUUUUAAGUGUUCAAACAAAAAUUUGUUUGGUAAACAUCAAAAUUUUGUUUGAAAAGUGUUUUUGAGUUCUAUUCUGAAAAUAGUCUUUAAAAACUAUUUUAUAAUCUUUCUAAAACAAAAGUUUCUGUUUUGACAGCUUGAAAGUUUGAAACACGGAAUUGCAGGCUUAUGCCCUACACGAGCAGGGGAACCUUCUGGAACUCGUGGACCCAAUUCUCGGUUCUAACUACUCUGAAUUUGGAUUUCUUAUGCACCAGCCCAUCUCCCACUCUCAGGCCAAAUUCCGCGUCUUCUGUAGUGAGCACGCUCCAAGGCAAAAUCGCUGUCCAAGCACCAAUAGCCAAGAGGAGCUCAAUGAACCAGGACAUGAGGUUCAAAGCCUUUGAGAGGCUGUCACAGGACAUAUCAUAUUAUGCUUUAUUUUCUUCUUUCAAUUUUUCCUCUGCUUUCUCUGCUACCAAACAAUGGCUUAUAUCAUUCUGCUGGAAAUUCUUUGUCCCUCUAUGCCAUAGCGAACUUGAUCUGAACCCAUAAUGUUUAUGGCCGAGUUGGAAUUCUGGGUAUUUAUUUUUUUCCUUUCUUUAAUUGGUUUGAAACCGGCACUGAAGCCGUAUUUUCAAAUUUUGACUGUUACAUAGGUUUUAAAGCCGCAUUUCCAAGAUGAGUUUUCUCAAUUAUGUAAGGGUUUGUUUGGAAAGUAUUUUUUAGAAUAGUUUCCUGUUUUUCAGAACGAAAAAACAAAGAAAAUGUGUUUGACAACCAUAAACUAUGUUAUGUUUUUUAUUUUUAAGAAUUAAAAAUAUAGUGUUUUAAAAAAACAUUUUUAAUUAUUUUAUAUUAUUUUCAUUUAAUUUUUUAGGGUUAUUUUAAAAAAUAAUCAUACAAAUAUGUCAAAUAUAUAGAAUAAUUAAAAAUAAAACAUUAGAUAUAAAAACAUAUUUAAAAAUAUUAAAAAUAGGUUAAAAUCAUUUUAAGUUUCACAUAGACUUAUGUUCUAUAAGAAUCAUAGAACAAUUUUUUAAAAAUAUUCAUAAAAACUAUUCUUCAAAAUUAUUUUGAAAAAUAGUUACCAAAUAGACUUUUGUCCUAGAUAUGAAAAAUCAUAUAGUUUUUUAUAAAUUGUUUUUAAUUUUUUAUUAUAUUUAUUAUUGUUAUUUUUAAAAAUAAAUUAGUUUAAAAAAUUAAGUUUCCUUAAAUACAAUAUUUACAUUUAUGAUGUAAAUUGAAAUCGAUAUUCAAAAUUUCAUAUAUUAAUUUUCCUUUUGCAAUGAUGUAAUUUCUUCUUAUUUAUUGAAUUUAUAAUUUUAUCAUCUAAUUAUAUAAAUAUAUAAAUUGAGAUCUCAUAUUACUAUGAUUCUAAGUCAUGUGAUGAAAAUAUUUUAUUUAGUUGCUUUAAUUUUAGAAAACUAUCCAUUCUUUCUAUUAAUUAUUAAAUAUUAAUUUCAAAAUUUUAUUUUUAGUAUUUAGUAAAAAACAAAAUAUUUUGACUUUUUCUAUUCAUUCAGAUAAAAAGUUAUAAAAAUAAGUAAUAAAUAAUAAGUUAAAAACAAACAAUUUAAUGUUUGAAAGCAAAUUACAUUCCAAUUAAGUUAAAAAACAAAUACCACUUCGAUAUUUGGUAAAAUUUAAUCCUUAUUAUUUAAUGACUUAAGUCAAAUUAUUCUUAAUAUGUUAACUUAAAAUUUGUUACUUACUUUUUUUUUUAAUCAUUAAAAUUGUUCGAUGAAAUUAACUUCAAAUUUAUUUUUAUUCCUCAAAUUAAUAUAAUUACUUUUGUUAAUUAUAAUUAAUAUUAAUCUUCAUUCAAUUAACUAAUUUAUUUUCAUUAAUUUUAAGCAAGACAUUUCUUUAUAAAACAUUUAUAUUUAAAGUAUUGAUAAAUAAGAUAACCAUAAAAGAUUUAUUAUAAAAAAUGAAUCAUAAAUUUGGAAUUAUAAUUUUAAAAUAUAUUCUCAUUAACAUAUGCAAAUGAAAAAAAAAAAGAUUUUGAGAUUAAGAAUAAGUUAAAUAUUUUGACUUAGUACUUAAAAGUUAUAAUAUUAAAUUAUUUUACCAAAUAUGAUUAAUCUACUUAAUGACUUAAAUUAAGUUGUCAAGUCAUUAAGUAAUUUAUCAAACACCUUGUUGACUUUAAACUUAUUGUUUAUUUUUUAUUUUAAAGUAUUAAGGUUGGUUGGUGAAAUUAACUUAAAAUUUAUCCUAUAUCGUCAAACAUAUUUACCCUUAUUAAUUUUAACUAAUAUUUAUAUUUUCAUUCAUAUUAAGAUAUAAACUUAUUCAUUAAAAAAAUCAUAUUUGAAGUAUUUUACAUAUAUAAAAUAACUACAAAAUAUUUACAUUCAAAAGAUGAGUUUCAAAUAUAGAGUUAUACUUGUAAAAUAUGGAAAAAUGAGAUAAAAAAGAUUUAAGAUUAAGAAUAAAUUACUUAUUUUAACUUACACUUUCUUCUUCUUCUUCUUUUUUUUUUUUUUGAAAUUUAAGUAGUAAUAUUAAGUUAUUUUCCAAAAUAUAUUUAAUUUACUUAAUGACUUAAAUUAAUUUAUUAAGUCAUAUUAAGUCAUUAAGUUCAUUUAUUAAACACCCUCUUAAAAUAUAUUUAUUUAUUUAUACUUAAAUCUAAAUAGAACUUAAUUUUAAAUACAACUUAAUAAUAUCAAAUAUUAAAUUAUUUAUUUUUUAUUAAUUUAUUUUUAUUAAGUAAUAAGUAUUAAUAAGGUGAGGGUCAUGCUAAAAUUGUGUUUUAAUUGUUUUGAAAAGUUAUUUUUAACGUUCAACAAAAAGUCAAAAUAUUUUGAUUUUUUCUAUUCGAUCAUUUUUAAAAAAAUAAGUAAUAAGUUAAAAAAAAAAUCUAAAGUCUAAAUGCAAAUUGCAUUAGACAUUAAGUUAAAAAAGCAAAUACCACCUUGAGCUUGGAACUUAUUAUCAAACUCAAAUAGUUAAUUUCUAAUGCUUUUUGGUUUGCAUGCCCAAUUUUAAGUUAGGCAUUUUAUAUUUUUCUUAACAAAAAAAAUUAUUUUCUAAAUUAAAUUGAAUGACAUUGGCCUUAAACAAUUUAGUUAGUUAUUGUCUAUGAAUCUAAUUGGACUGAACAACAUGAUUUUCAUUUGAGAUUUGGUCAGUAUGAUUCUCAGUGCAUAUAAACCAAUUACAUUAAUUUGAUUAGAUUUUAGUUUUCAAUGUGAAAUAGUUAUCAUUUGUAGUGAAUUUGAGGAAAUAGUAAUUAUUUGUAGUCAGGGAUAUUAGUUAAUGUUCAAAAUGAGAGACUAAUUUGUGGUCUUAGAAAAUGAGAAUAAUUUUUGUCAAGUUUUUAUUUAUUUAUUUAUUUGGAUAACCCAAAUGCCAAAAAUAUAUGUUCAUUUCAAUAUUUAAUAACAAUAAAAAUAAAAUUAGAAAAUAAACGCAUUUUUAUUAUGGUUACAUUUUACAUUUUACUAAACUUUUGCCCAUUUUAUUACUAGCCAAAAUAAAAUAAAAUGUAUUGAAAAUUAUUAUUAUUAUUAUUUGUGGUUUUCUCAAUAAUAAAAUAGAACCUAAUAACUUUGUUAUUAAUAGAAUUAAAAUUUAAAAUACUAAAAAAUUAAAGAGGGAAUGAAGAAUGCGAGAAAUGAUAUGAACAAUGUAAGGAUUAUCAUAUUUUUCAUACAAUUUCUCACAUUCUUUGUAAUUUUAUAAUUUUUUUUUCAGUUAAAAAUAUAAUAAUAUUGUUUAUCCAUAUUAAUUAAGCUUGGAAAUGAUGAAAAUUAUCAUUAAUAAAACAUUAAAUAAUUGUAACUAAAUAAUUGUAGAUGGUAGAAUAAGAAGAAUGUGAGGAAUGAUACAUGAGGAAUCCUUACAUUUUAAUUGGAGAGGGUACGAUCACAUACGAAGAAUGUUAUAAAAAAGUAUGAACAAUAUGAAAAUUCUUCACAUUUUUUUUGUCAUUCCCACAUUCUUGGUACCGUCCAAAAUUUUCUAUUUUUUUAUUUUAAGAAUUUUUUUUCCACUUCCCAAAAAUACUUUCUAUAUUUAAUCCAGUCUUCUCCAUAAAAAAAAUUACAAUUAAUAAUACAAUUUUUAAUUAAUAAUUGAUUGAUCAUAAUUCUAAUUUAAUAAUAAAUACUCAUUUUAAGUUAAUUAUAAAUGAUUUUUUCACGAGGUCUUAGUGUUUAAAAUUUAUAUCAUAAAAGGAUACAAUACUUCUUUGAAGACAUGGAUGCAAAACAAGAAGAGGAUAAGAAGGUAAGCAAUCGGAUUGCGGAAACAAGAGAAGUCGCCUACAAUGCUGAGGAUGCUAUUGAAAAUUAUAAUCUCCGUGAUUUUGCUAGUAAAUGGACCCUGAAAAGAAAAUUGACUUGGUUCUGAUUCCUCUAUUUUUUUAAGAAUACCGAGUCGGGUUCUUCUCCUACCCGUAUUGAAUAGAACAUGCUGAGGCAAAUCUUCUUCACUGCUUGCUUUAGAUCGGGAAAAUCGUAUCGAAUGUUGGAUCUGAGAUUGAGAGUAUUCAAAAAAAAAUAUCUCUGACCUUACAAGAAGUUUAGAAACCUAUGGCAUUAAAGCUGUGAAAGUCUGUGAAAGCUUGACUCGGGCCGUGAAUGUCAACAGACGUAAUCUUAUUCUCAUGUUAACAAAGAGGAUGUUGUUGGGUUGGAUGGUGAAUGAUGAAAGUUGUCUGGUUAUUUCUAGUUGCGGUAUGGGUGGUUUGAGGACACGAGUGUUACGAAUUACUUCCAAGGUUUUUCUUGGGCAUAUAUAUAUCCUGACGAUGCCGCGAAAUCAUGUUUGAAAAGUGGCAACAUGUUUCUUGAUAUUAAACCUAAUUUUGCAGUUCAAACAUAUCCAAAUUACAUCCUAAAUUGAUUUGAGUAUCUUUGAUAAUAAUUUUAAACACUAAGAAGGUUAUAGGGGUUUUAAUAUUUGAAAUAUAAAAAUUUUUAAAUGUUAGAAAAGUUAGAAAUAUUUUUUUAAAAUCAUUGUUAAAUGUCCUAUUUAAAAAAAACAUUUAUAAUCCAAAAAGUGUUUUAAAGAAAAACAAGGUAUUUAGUAAAAAUAUUUAAGAAAUAUUUAAAAAAAUUUUAAAAAUCAAUUAUAGUGUUGAAAAAACAUUUAUAAUAUUUUUUAGAUAAAGAUAUGUAAUUAUCCUUAAAACAUUAAGGUUAUGUUUGGUUCCCGGAAAAUACUAAGGAAAGAAAAAAAAUGCAAAGGAAAAUAAUUUUUUUAUGUUUGGUUGUCCUAUGAAAAAUAUCAAAGAAAAUCAAAUAUGAUUAAAACUAAUUAAAAACUUAUGUAUUUUUAAAUUAUUUAAUCUUUAUAUUGAUGAGUUAAAAUAAAUAAAAUGAGUUUAAAGUAACAAAAAAAAUAAUUUAUCAACUUUUAAUCUAUUUUUUUAUUUUCCUUCACUUUUUCUUUUCCUCUGCUUUUCCUUUGUAUUUUCUUUCCCUUGCAUUUUCCUUCAAAGUUUUUGGGAACCAAACAUAGCCUAAAGAGAAAAUAUUUCUGCUAAAAACACUUCAAAUGUACUCGAAUGAUCAUCAAUUGUUUAGCAAAUAAUUUCAUGAUUUUGAAAUGUUACAUGAAUUAUUUGACAAGGACAUAGCACCUACAACUGCAUUAAAAAGCUUGAAAAAUAAGGUCCCUCCAUUUAACAAUGGAAGAAAAUGUGAAAUCAUAUAUCAAAUUAAUAAGCUCAUGUCAUAAAACACAGGUAGUCAUGAAAAUUUUAAUAAAUUAUUUAGUUGAAAAGUCAAAUCUUCUUUGUGUACACUCAAAGGUCUUGCGUUCCAUGAUUCAAAUUUUAUUUAUUUUUAUCUUAAAAUAAGAAGUUGAAGUUAAAAUAAUUUAGGUCAUUGAUUAAUCUUCAAACAAUUAAUAAUAUUUGUCAUUUAAGUUUUUAGUAAAUGAUGUUUUUAAUUAAUAUUGUUAUAAUGGAUUUAUAUAAUCUUCAUAAUUGAAUUUAUUUAUUAAUUAAAUAAGAUUUCUUUGGAUCUCUCUUGUAAUACCAAAUAUGGAAAUAACUAAUAUUGAGAGUUUUGGAUCAGUGAUUGAUGUGAUACUUAUGUGAUUCGAAGCUAUAUUAAACAUAAAUUUUAAAAAACGACUUAAAAAUUAUAUUUUUAUAUUCCAAUGGCUCUCAAGAGACACGUGACAUGUUUUUUGCACAUAAUUAUUUCAAUUUAUCAUAUCUUUUUUUUUUAACUUGAAAUUAUGAUCCGUUUGAAACAUUAGAUUCAUGACUUCUUGAGUAUCAAAAUCAUAUGUAAUUUGGUGUGAUAAGAGGGUUUAUGGUUGGACAUUUGAAUCCAAACUUCCAAUAUUGAUCUCUUAUAGGAUAUUUUGCUUAUAAUUUUUCUUUAAAAACGACACAAAGAAAAACUGCAAAUGAGAGAGGAGAAAGCCAUAAACAUGGCUUGUCACAUUUAUUGCAACACAUUGCACACACGUACACACGGAUAAGAGUCCUGGGCCACCACGUGUCACCAAAUCAGAGACUCUGAGGGCAUUAUUUACUACAACAUAAACAAGAAAGCAAAAAACAUAGAAUUACAAACACACCCCUCUCUUCCAGCUGCUGGCCGUCACCUCCAUUCACAUGAUGACUUGUAGGCACGAGUCCCAAGGGUAGGUAGUUAGCGACUUAGCAGUGGCGGUGGUGGGGAGGGCCGUGCGGACCGGGAUGACAAUGAGGUCCCGGAGGAGGAGGGCAGUGGUGAGGAGGGCCGUGGUGAGGAGGGCCGUGGUGAGGAGGGCCAUGGUGAGGAGGGCCGUGGUGAGGAGGGCCGUGGUGAGGAGGGGGGCACAGCUGAGGGGGCGGCGGACCGUGGUGGUGGGGAGGUGGUGGACCAUGGUGCGGAGGGCAAUGGGGCGGGGGCGGAUGUCCGUGGUGGUGGUGGUGGUCGUGGUGCGGGUCGUGUGGUGGAUGAUGCAUCUUCUCUUCUUCUUCGAGGAAGUUGUGUUGUGGCGAAGGGUUGAAGGGAGCUUCUCAAUUUAUAGAAGCAAAGCUAACUUUCAUACUAUGUCUAGUCUUUUUUUAACUGCGAGUCAAACCUUCAUUUUUUUAUUUUUUAGACGGUGUCACCUACUAUAAUUAUUUAUUUAUUAAUGUAGAAAAUCCGCGUGAGGAUAAAAGCCAUGUGAGUUCUGAUGGGGCAUUGUCAGGGCCCCUGCAAGUCUCCGUCACCUCCGCAAUUCAAUCUCGCAUUCACAUUGAUGUAUUAGGGUUUUG